AACGAACGCUGGCGGCAGGCCUAACACAUGCAAGUCGAGCGAGGACUUCGGUUCUAGCGGCGGACGGGUGAGUAACGCGUGGGAAUGUGCCCUUCUCUACGGAAUAGCCCUGGGAAACUGGGAGUAAUACCGUAUACGCCCUAUUGGGGAAAGAUUUAUCGGAGAAGGAUUAGCCCGCGUUGGAUUAGGUAGUUGGUGGGGUAAUGGCCUACCAAGCCGACGAUCCAUAGCUGGUUUGAGAGGAUGAUCAGCCACACUGGGACUGAGACACGGCCCAGACUCCUACGGGAGGCAGCAGUGGGGAAUCUUAGACAAUGGGGGCAACCCUGAUCUAGCCAUGCCGCGUGAGUGAUGAAGGCCUUAGGGUUGUAAAGCUCUUUCAGCUGGGAAGAUAAUGACGGUACCAGCAGAAGAAGCCCCGGCUAACUCCGUG
rnacentral:rRNA from 1 species